CCCCACUAAGGUUCACACCUGGAGAGUUUCCAGUACUCUACCAGUCUCAGCUAUGAGAGGGAGGGUCAAGCAGAGGCCUGUCCAUUCCAUUCCUAGUUUGGGCAGUGGCCAGUGAUUGGAAAGCAAUCUGCUACAAAU